rnacentral:rRNA from 1 species
UACAGAGGGUGCAAGCGUUGUUCGGAAUUAUUGGGCGUAAAGGGCGCGUAGGCGGUGCUGUAAGUCUGUAGUGAAAUCUUCGGGCUCAACUCGAAGUCUGCACGGGAAACUGCGGGGCUUGAGUGUGGGAGAGGUGAGUGGAAUUCCCGGUGUAGCGGUGAAAUGCGUAGAGAUCAGGAGGAACACCGGUGGCGAAGGCGGCGAUCUGGGUAGAUACUGA